rnacentral:rRNA from 1 species
GGUUAAGCGACUAAGCGUACACGGUGGAUGCCCUGGCAGUCAGAGGCGAUGAAGGACGUGCUAAUCUGCGAUAAGCGUCGGUAAGGUGAUAUGAACCGUUAUAACCGGCGAUUUCCGAAUGGGGAAACCCAGUGUGAUUCGUCACACUAUCAUUAACUGAAUCCAUAGGUUAAUGAGGCGAACCGGGGGAACUGAAACAUCUAAGUACCCCGAGGAAAAGAAAUCAACCGAGAUUCCCCCAGUAGCGGCGAGCGAACGGGGAGCAGCCCAGAGCCUGAAUCAGUGUGUGUGUUAGUGGAAGCGUCUGGAAAGGCGCGCGAUACAGGGUGACAGCCCCGUACACAAAAAUGCACAUACUGUGAGCUCGAUGAGUAGGGCGGGACACGUGGUAUCCUGUCUGAAUAUGGGGGGACCAUCCUCCAAGGCUAAAUACUCCUGACUGACCGAUAGUGAACCAGUACCGUGAGGGAAAGGCGAAAAGAACCCCGGCGAGGGGAGUGAAAAAGAACCUGAAACCGUGUACGUACAAGCAGUGGGAGCACAG